rnacentral:rRNA from 1 species
CGCGGCCUAUCAGCUUGUUGGUGGGGUAAUGGCCUACCAAGGCGUCGACGGGUAGCUGGUCUGAGAGGAUGAUCAGCCACACUGGGACUGAGACACGGCCCAGACUCCUACGGGAGGCAGCAGUGGGGAAUCUUGCGCAAUGGGCGAAAGCCUGACGCAGCAACGCCGCGUGCGGGAAGAAGGCCUUCGGGUUGUAAACCGCUUUCAGCAGGAACGAAAAUGACGGUACCUGCAGAAGAAGGUGCGGCCAACUACGUGCCAGCAGCCGCGGUGACACGUAGGCACCAAGCGUUGUCCGGAUUUAUUGGGCGUAAAGAGCUCGUAGGCGGUUCAGUAAGUCGGGUGUGAAAACUCUGGGUUUAACCCAGAGCCGCCACCCGAUACUGCUGUGACUAGAGUCCGGUAGGGGAGUGGGGAAUCCCUAGUGUAGCGGUGAAAUGCGCAGAUAUUAGGAGGAACACCGGUGGCGAAGGCGCCACUCUGGGCCGGAACUGACGCUGAGGAGCGAAAGCGUGGGUAGCAAACAGGAUUAGAUACCCUGGUAGUCCACGCCGUAAACGUUGGGCACUAGGUGUGGGCCUCAACCAACGAGGUCCGUGCCGUCGCUAACGCAUUAAGUGCCCCGCCUGGGGAGUACGG